ACAUGCACUAUAGCUCUUUUAUCCACUCAUCUACUGAUGGGCACUUGGGCUGUUUCCAAAUCUUGAUUAUUGUAAAGAAUGCUACAAUGUACAUAGGGAUGCAUAUAUUCUAUCGAAUUAGUGUUUCAGCUUUCUUUGGAUGAAAUUCCCCGAUGUGAAAAUGCU